CUCUGAUCCAGGCUAUAUACCACAAUUUAAAAGAACACAUAUAAUGUGAGACAUAGAAGACACAAAACAUAUGCAGUAGCUGAAUCAUUUAAAGCAUCUGUAGCAAUAAAAAGGUUAGCUUUCAGCACAAAAUGAAGCAUGUGUUGGACCGCUGAAAAUGUAAAUGUUGCUCUUAUUUACAAACAAAUCAUAUUUACAGUAUGGAUCCUUUGCAACAAACACACAGGGCAGGGAAGAUGUGCUGAUUGGUGUUCUAUACAAUUAAUCCCAUACGGGGAAUUAACUUUCAAAUACUAAUGAAGUGACUUUUUGUCUCAGUUAUAAAAAUACUGAGCUCAUCAUGCAAACAAUGCAACACAUUUACACUAUCCCACUCUCAUAGAAAGUGUAGUGGGCUUAUGGUAUUAAAGUAAUAAUCAUACCAGGCACACAGAUCCUAUGUGAAAUAACUUACAAACUAUACUUCUAUGCGACAUAAAGAAUAAAGCAAAAGAUUUAAGUAGAUCUAUCAG